GGCUAGCUCAGUUGGUCAGACAGUGAUGCUGAUAACGCCAAGGUGGCAGGUUUGAUCCCUGUGUGGAACA